GGAGGAGAUACCAAGAGGUCAUCACACAGGCCAUGGACGAGUUCUACAAGAGCCAGGUAGAAGAGAACUGUCCUGGCAUGCUGCCCAGCACCCAGCUCACACACGCAUCUCUUAUUUGAAGCUUCCCCAAAGCAGGUCUUGAAGUCCAGGCUCCCUGAGAAGCUGCGGAGGAGACUGCUGAGCUAAAGGGCCUAUCACCAAAUGUGCCACCCUUGCUUGUUUCAUCCUGGCAAUCUUGGAUUAUUUUUGCCCUGAAAUUUUGGAGCAGGGGACAGGGAAGACAGAAGACAGUGUGUAUCAGCCCUCCAGACUGAGGCAGGUCCUGUUGAGAAACCCCAUCUGUGCCUUUAGAGACUGCCCAGAUUACACAGACCCAGCAACCGCAUCUGCAGCCCCCAGGGCCUAUCCCUUUCUACAUGGGUUUCACUGCAUGUGAGUACACGGUGGGCUUGAUUCCUGCCCACUACUCUCUGCCAGAUACCCCAUGCCCUCCUCAUGAAGAAAAUGAGGCCACACGGACACACUCAACCCAUCAUGGUGAGAGGGUGGCUGAGGCUCUACUUGCCU
rnacentral:lncRNA from 1 species